rnacentral:rRNA from 1 species
UCAAGCUAAAAAGAGCGCAGGGUGGAUGCCUUGGCACUAAGAGCCGAUGAAAGACGUGAUAAGCUGCGAUAAGCUACGGGGAGGAGCACAUAUCCAUUGAUCCGUAGAUUUCUGAAUGGGGAAACCCGGCUGAGCAUACCUCAGUCACCGUGCACUGAAUCCAUAGGUGUACGGAGGGAACCCGGUGAACUGAAACAUCUAAGUAGCCGGAGGAAGAGAAAGAAAACUCGAUUUUCAAAGUAGCGGCGAGCGAAAUGGAAAGAGCCCAAACCGGAGUGCGUGCACUCCGGGGUUCGGACUGCAUUUAUGACUUCUGACUGUAGCGGAACGGUUCUGGAAAGACCGGCCAGAGAGGGUGAGAGCCCCGUAGGCGAAACGGAAAGAAGCAGAGCAGGAUCCAGAGUACCACGAGACACGAGAAACCUUGUGGGAAUGAGCGGGGACCACCCCGUAAGGCUAAAUACUCCUUAGUGACCGAUAGAGCAGAGUACUGUGAAGGAAAGGUGAAAAGGACCCCGGGAGGGGAGUGAAAGAGAACCUGAAACCCUGUGUUUACAAACUGUGGAAGUACCAUAUGAGUACAACCGCGUACUUUUUGUAGAACGGUCCGGCGAGUUACGUUUACUGGCGAGGUUAAGCACUUAAGGUGCGGAGCCGAAGGGAUACCAAGUCUUAACAGGGCGUUAAGUCAGUGUACGUAGACCCGAAACCGGGUGAUCUACCCAUGUCCAGGCUGAAGUUGCCGUAAAAGGCAAUGGAGGGCCGAACGCACAUCCGUUGAAAAGGGUGGCGAUGAGGUGUGGGUAGGGGAGAAAUUCCAAUCGAACCCGGAGAUAGCUGGUUCUCCUCGAAAUAGCUUUAGGGCUAGCCUCGUGUUAACCUUGUGGAGGUAGAGCACUGAAUAUCCUAGGGGGCGUCAAAGUCUACCGAAGAUUAUCAAACUCCGAAUGCCAUAGAGGUGAUGCACGGGAGUCAGACUGCACGAGAUAAGUUGGGUGGUCAAAAGGGAAAGAGCCCAGACCUACAGCUAAGGUCCCAAAGUGCGUGUUAAGUGGAAAAGGAUGUGGGAUUUCGAAGACAACUAGGAUGUUGGCUCAGAAGCAGCCAUACAUUCAAAGAGUGCGUAAUAGCUCACUAGUCGAGAGGUCCUGCGCCGAAAAUGUCCGGGGCUGAAACACGACACCGAAGCUUAGGACUCCUUUUAGGAGUGGUAGAGGAGCAUUGUUAGCGCAGCGAAGCUGUACCGAUAAGGAGCAGUGGAGUGCUAAGAAGAGAGAAUGCCGGAAUGAGUAGCGAGAGGAAGGUGAGAAUCCUUCCGGCCGAAUAUCCAAGGUUUCCAGAGUAAAGCUGAUCUGCUCUGGGUAAGUCGGGGCCUAAGGCGAGGUCGAAAGACGUAGUCGAUGGAUAACAGGUGGAGAUUCCUGUACUAUGUGUACCCAGAACUGUGGGGACGCAUGUGGAGAGCAUGAGCCGGGAAAGAGAAAACCGGUACAAGCGGGGUAGGAGUAAGGACAGCAAAUCUUCCUUACAAUCCGAAGACGUGAUGUGGACCGAACCAAAGUAGGGAAGCAUGUGAGCCAUGUGCCAAGAAAAGCCGCUAUUGUGAUACACAUACCCGUACCGUAAACCGACACAGGUGGAUGAGGAGAGAAUCCUAAGGCCGACGGAAGAAGCAUUGUUAAGGAACUCGGCAAAAUGACCCCGUAACUUCGGGAGAAGGGGUGCCCUGUGAAAGCAGGGCCGCAGAGAAUAGGCUCAAGCAACUGUUUAGCAAAAACACAGGUCUAUGCGAAACCGAAAGGUGAGGUAUAUGGGCUGACGCCUGCCCGGUGCUGGAAGGUUAAGAGGAGAGGUUAGCGCAAGCGAAGCUUUGAAUUUAAGCCCCAGUAAACGGCGGCCGUAACUAUAACGGUCCUAAGGUAGCGAAAUUCCUUGUCGGGUAAGUUCCGACCC